UUUCCCUUUUCUUUCUCUCUCUUCUCUCUGAUUCUCUUUCUAUUCUUUCAACCCUCUCUCCCUCCGGCCACCCAUGUUCUUCACCCCCACUGUCUAAACCAUCGCCUUCUUCAGUUUUUCGGUUGAACUUCAACCAGAAAAUUCAAACACUCAAACGCCUUAUCCCCAGAACCUUCAAACCAAACCCCACGAACCCUAACGAACCCUAUGAACUCUAACUUGGUUCAGAUGAACCCUAACUAGGUUAAGAUGAACCCUAACAUUUUCCAGAUGAACCCUAACUUGGUUAAGAUGAACCCUAACAUUUUCCAAAUGAACCCUAACUAGGUCAUUACAUGAACCCUAACCCUAAAAAUUGCCCAUAAACCCUCGAACCCACAUCAAAACAUGGAUUGAACAUUAACCCCAAUAAAUCCCAACAUACAUCACAAAAUCGAACCCCAAUCAACAGAUCAAACACGACCAACAAGCAUAAAUGUCAAAGCAACAUUUAAAGAGGAAAAGAACCAACCUUCAAAGACGCGGCUUUCUCAAAGGUCCUGACGGAAUGGAGGUUGAGCUUAGAGAGUUUAGGGUUUUAAUAUGAAACCCUAAAUCUAUUUCGAUUUAAGCUUUAGUCGAAGGAUUUGGGUUGCAACAAUUGAGGAUUGUCGGGUUUUUUGUUCCUGUCAUUCAUCUCAAUUCUUUUCGUGUUUAUAGGCUAAUUUUAGGUCUUAAGCUUUCAAUUAGAUUUAUUAUUUUUUAGGAAAUGUUGAUUUGAUUGUAAUUAUUAUUUGAUUUGGUUUAGAAAUAGGUUUAGGGUUUUUGAGACUUGAUUGUAUCUGGAAUGAUUUGGUUUGUAAAUUAUAUUGUAUUAAUUUUGGAAACUUUGGAUUGAAAUUGAAACUAUCACUUUUGAUUCA